GAGCCUUGAACAGGGAAUCAUCUUGGCUCCAUUAUCUUUCUCGCUGUCUUAAGUCUCUUUUAGCUCCAGCCUGCCUCCCAGGUGUACCUGGUCCUUGUAAGCCACAGGUCGGGUCAGCUUGCUACAGAUUGGCUUCCAGGCCAGGGACCUGAGGAACGGCAGGAGAUUCUGAGGGAACACUGCUUCCUGUGGAGCUCCAAGAGAAGGGAAGAAUCAGAGGAUCAUAUCGGGCACAGUGAGCAACAGGUUCCUGAACACUGACGGUAGAGCUGUGACAAAGGCUGAAUGCUCCAAAGUCCCUCACUCUCUGCACAUUUUCCAGAUGUUGGUGUCUUUAAUUACCAUGCAUUUCAAGAAGAAUGUUCUCUGACACUUGGCCUACAAAAGGACAAUGGAGGAAGGAAGGUUUCUUCUCCUACUUGCACUUACUUGCCAGCUUUUCUGUUGGAAACUGCUUCUUCAGAAUUUCAGCUUAUACAGAAAACCAGCUGAAGCACCUAGCUUCAUGGAACUGAGCAACUGCUAGAUUCUUGGACUUCAUAUUUACAGCUGCCAAAGGAUUAGUAGGACCGCAGACUAAAACCAAGUCGCACAAAUUCCUGAAAUCACAUCACCAUGAAGCUUAUGUCUGUUGAGUUGGUACUUCAAAGAGGUACUUGAAGCCUAUAUGUCCACAUUCAGAGAAAAAGCACAUUUUAGACCCAAUAUAAAGAUCAAGAGAAAGCUGGAACUAACAUGUAUAGAACUACCCAUCAUGGAGAAAGCUAGCCAGUAGGAAUGAUACUUCCAGGCUUUGCAAUGUCACUGUUGUGCAACCAGAGGCACAGAAACUGCAGCUGUGAGACUCCAAUCCUUUCUGCUUAGAUUUGUUGCCAGUAGGGAACUAUGAGCAUGAGGUCAGCCUUGCAAGCACUACCAGAGGCUUCAGCAGCAGAUCACCAGCUGUGGAUGAUACUCUUUCACCUUCUAUAAACUCAGCUAACAGUUUUAGACAGGACCCUGGGAAAACUGUCUCCUGAGAAGCUUCAUCCAGCAGCUAUGGAAGCAGAUGCAGAAAUCCAUAGCCAAACAUCAGGCAGAGGUCCUGGAGUCUUGUGGAAGAGUGUGGGAGCAGUGAGCAAGUUGGACUGGUCAACGACACCACAAGGAGACACACAAGUAACUUGGGACCAUGGGAGCUCCCAGAACCUGGGCCACCAACAAGGAAUGAAAAGGUGAAAGAAUAAGAAUGAGAAUAGAAGCUGUAAAGAACCCAGAUGCCCCUCAACAGAGGAAUGGAUACAGAAAAUGUGGUACAU